ACCUGCCAAAUCCAUUGUUGAUGGUAACCCCUUACGCCCCAUGAAUCGCUCCUGCAAAAAUAUCCGAUCUGUUCCUAGCGCAGAGAUUCACUGUGGAGAGGAGCAGCAGCCUGUAGUUUCAAUGAAAUAUCCAAAUAUCCACAAUCACUGAAUACACAUCCAAGCAAUACGAGCAGUUAGGGCUCCAUGUUGUAUUUCUGCAUUUAUUCCAGCAAUAUACUGAAAAAAGAACAAAAGCCUGCAUUUAUAGAGACCAGCCAAGGUCUCUCUUGAGCUGAAGAUAUACCUCAAAAAAGGAGGGUCUCUCAAGCACCAGGUAAAAAAAAAAGACCAACAACCACAGAUAAUUGCAGUUUUUAUCACAGGAAUUAUAUGCCAGGUACCAGAAAUAGCUGUAGGAACCAGCCACCCCCUUGAAGCUGAGGCCUCUCGUGUGUUGUGUGUUCAAGAGUUGUAAUAAUGUGGAUACAACAUGGAUGGUACAAGGGAAAGGGUUGGGCUCCAACCCCCAGCCCCUUCUCAUAAUCAUACCUCACUUUUUCCUCCAUGUUUUUCAAACUCUAUUCACUGUCUUAUCUCUCUCAAUAAAAGCCCUCAGGUAAUAUUUUUUUAAAAAACUGCUCGGCAUUUAGUACUUUUUUAAAACUAGAGGAACUUUAAGGAGGAGGUUUGCAUCCCUUUUCAGUACGAAAAUCUUAAACUCCCAAUGAAUUAUAUGUUUUUUUGAUUGAUGGGCUUACAAGCAGUAGGGAAGAAAGCAUACAGCUAGAGUGAUGCAAAGUCUAAACCCUGUUUACUUUUUAAUAGCAACUUAUAGCAAGCAUUACUACCAGCAGCAUGACUUGAACCUCCUCUAUGCUUAUUCUUAUUGUGCUUGAAUAACAAUGCAAGUCUGUUUAACAGGGAGGAAAUCUGCUGGCAUAUUUUUGACAGGAAAUUCAGGCAACAGAAGGAAACUUUUAGUUCCUUGGAGAAGUUUCAGGAACUAAAAGUUUCAAAUACUUUUGGCGGAGACACAAUUUAAGGCUGAUGGAGAGACGACAGCAGGGGCAUUAAACAAAUUUAUAGAAUUGAUAAGUUUCUGCACAGAAUAUUUUUACUUUCAAAACUGGAUGUAAAUUCUCCCGAUUAUAGCAGCAUAUUUUAACUUGGUUAAUAUUUGAGGCUGGACUUUUACUUUAGAGCGUAGUGCAAGUGCUUUUUAUGAAAUGAAUUAUCUUAAUACGUCCUCUACUUUCAUACAAUCAUAAUGUCUUGCAGCACUUCGCUGCCUAAAGUAAAGCACACUGAAACAAAUUUGUGGUCUUGGGCUGAAAGAAUGAACUUGAUUUAAAUGAACAUGACAGAAAAUCGUAAACCAAACUGACACGAGCUGUAACCAUAACCAUAAAUGUCUCCUAUGUUUAGUCCUAAUCCACAUGGAGUAGAAUAUAAACCAGCAUUAGGAGAGAUCUGUGCAGAAAACAAGCAUGUUUGUGUAGAGUAGUAUGACAGCAGGAGCCUUGUCAUUGUUAAGCUUUGAUUUUGACACAGACCAAAGACUGAACAUGACCAAGGCUCUCCCAAACAUCCACGUUUCACAGUCAGCCAGUGUUCCAGAUGACCCUGACUGAUUUAUCUGCCAAAGACAAAUUUUACUGCCGUUUUCCUCUUGACGAGCUGUAAUUUUGAACCCCGCCUGUAACCAAGAGUGUAAUUAACAUGUCCAGUUUAUACUGAGGAUCAUAAAGAUAAUGUCAGCUGCUCUUGCUGUUUUAAAGAGAGGAUUCAGUGUCCAGUGAGAUUAAUAUGAAGUUAAAUAAAGAAAAGUACAGGAGAUGGUGCAGAGGAGCCUAACCUCUCACUUUAUGUAGGUAAGUUAAUGUAUCAAAAGCUCAUAAAAAAGCCAUAAAAUAUGCAAACACAUUUUAAAGCUACAAUGCAUGAUGGGCUCCUAGUGUUUUUACUCCCGUCUGCAGCUCAUGAAUGGAGGCGUACCAGGUCUGUAAUUGAGUUUGUGUUGUCCUGUAGCUUUAGAUUGACUACUCUCUGUGAAAGCAACACUUUUAUUUUCUAUUUAUUGGCAUAACUGUAAGUGGCCCGGUAACUAUACUUGGAUUAACAUUAGAUUCAUUGGAAAGGUGCUGCUAAUGGUAACAAGUGCACAAAGAUUUAUCACCAGCUGAGCUUUACGUUUUUACUCUGGAAAAGAUUUUAGCAUUCUUGAUUCACGGUUUAACCGCUAGAAGUGUUUUGGUUAUGCCGUGAAGCAAAAACUGUGAAAAGAGGCUCUACAAGCCUACGAAACCUUGACGGUACACAAGCAGCUGAGCAGCCAGGUCAGAAAGACUCAUUUUUUAUUGGGCUGUUAAACCUCAUGAAAUAUGUACUAAGCUAGCUUUACACUAAGCUAAUAAACAUUCAUUUAUUUCACUUUUAAUUUUACAGGCCAACGGGUGGUUUGAUUCAAAAAAAAUUUUAUUUAUUUUUUUGUUUUUCUGUUUUUCUGGCUCAGGUUAAGUCAUCAGCUAACACAACAAAGUUAUCUGAAAGAUACAGUGCAUCCAGAAAGUAUUCAUACCACUUCACUUUUUCCACAUUUUGUUAUGUUACAGCCUUAUUCCAAAAUGGAUUAAAUUCCUUUUUUUCCCCUCAAAGAUUCUACACAAAAUACCCCAUAAUGACAAUGCGAAAGACUCUUUUUUUUUUUUUUUUUUUUAGAACAUUUUGCAAAUUUAUUAAAAAUAAGACACUCAAAUGUUGCAUAAACAUAAGUAUUCACACCCUUUGCUAUAAAACUCAAAAUUGAGCUCAGGUGCAUCCUGUUUCCAUUGAUUAGCCUUGAAAUGUUCCUCCAACUUGAUUGCAGUCCACCUGCGGCAAAUUCAGCUGAUUGGACAUGAUUUGGAAAGCCACACCUGUCUAUAUAAGAUCCCACAGCUGACAGAGCACGUCAGAGUACAAACCAAGCCAUGAAGUGGAAAGAAUUGUCUGUAGACCUCUGAAACAGGGUUGUAUCAGCGCACAGAUCUGGGGAAGGUUACAGAAAAAUAUCUGCUGCAUUGAAGAUCCCAAAAACCAGUGGUCUCCAUCAUUAAGAAAUGGAAGACGUUUGGAACCACCAGGACUCUCCCUAGAGCUGGCCGCCCAGCCAAAAUGAGCAAGCGGGGGGAGAAGGGCCUUGGUCAGGGAGGUGACCAAGAACCCGAUGGUCACUCUGACAGAGCUCCAGCGUUCCUCUGAGGAGAUGGGAGAACCCUUUAGAAGGACCACCAUCUCUGCAGCACUCCACCAGUCAGGCAUUUAUGGUAGAGUGGCCAGACAGAAGCCACUCCUCUGUAAAAAGCACAUGACAGCCCGCUUGGACUUUGCAAGAAGGCACCUGAAGGACUCACAGACCAGGAGAAAAAAAAUUCCCUGGUCUGAUGAAACAAAGAUCGAACUCUUUGGCCUUAAUGCCAAGCGUCAUGUCUGGAGGAAACCAGGCACCGCUCACCACCUCGCCAAUACCAUCCCUACAGUGAAGCGUGGUGGUGGCAGCAUCAUGCUGUGGGGAUGUUUUUCAGUGGCAGGAACUGGGAGACUUGUCAGGAUCAAGGGGAAAAUGAAUGCAGCUAAGUACAUCGAAAUCCUUGAUGAAAACCUGCUCCAGAGCGCUCGAGACCUUUGACUGGGGCGACGCUUCAUCUUCCAGCAUGACAAUGACCCUAAGCACACGGCCAAGAAGACAAAGGAGUGGCUUCAGGACAAGUCUCUGAAUGUCCUUGAGUGGCCCAGCUGGAGCCCAGACUUGAAGCUGAUUGAACAUCUUUGGAAAGACCUGAAAGCAGCUGUGCACCAACGCUGGCCAUCCAACCUCACUGAGCUUGAGAGGAUGUGCAAGGAAGAAUGGGGAAAAACUCCCCAAAUCCAGGUGUGCCAAGCUUGUUGCAUCAUACACAAGAAGACUGGAGGCUGUAAUCACUGCCAAAGGUGCUUCGCCCAAGUAUUAAGUGUGUGAAUACUUAUAACAUUUGAGUGUUCUUAUUUUUAAUAAAUUUGUAAAAUGUUCUAAAAAAAAGUCUUUCACUUUGACAUUAUGGGGUAUUUGUGUAGAAUCUUUGAGGGGAAAAAAAGGAAUUUAAUCCAUUUUGGAAUAAAGCUGUAACAUAACAAAAUGUGGAAAAAGUGAAGUGGUAUGAAUACUUUCCGGAUGUAAGUACAGAUUUUAUAAACAGCUGGUUUCUGCAAUUUCUGAGUGAACACGAAAAACUUUAAUUCACUGUUGGUCUUUGUUUUAGUUGUAAACAAAUAAACUUCUUCCAGGUUUGGUGCAGACUGAACUUUUUUGUUUUCCUGCACUGUUUGUUAUAAUUAAAGAACAUUAUAAAACAAUCUUAAAUUAAAGGGGAUGGACUGCUUUUCUCUCGUACAAUUCAUCUUUCUUCCACCCUCCUCUGUGUUUUUUGUUAUUUUUGACAAGAAAUUUGAGUUUAGUUUCUUAAUUGUAGUCAUUUUCAGAAAACUGGAGGAUUCGCUUAUAUCUGUAUCUUUGGGUCUUGUGUUGUUUUAGUCAGAGGACAUCAGUUUUUAUUUGUAGUCAUCAUUGUUAAUUUUAAUCAAAUUUCAGUCAACGUCAGGGUCAAAGCUUUUUCAGUUAUCUGAUUCUUUUUAAAGAAAUAUUUCUCCUGGUCCUUAAAAAGUGUUUGGCUAUCUUGGCUGAAAAUGCAUUUCGGACUUAGACCUUUUCUUGUCACUGAAAAACUUGAAUGCUUUAAACUUCUUAAAAAAUGUGGACAUUUCAAAAACACACAUUUCCCCUGACAGCACGGAGUAACAUUUUACUUCACCCUGCUAAUGUUUGCUGAAUGACUCAGGGUCUGAAUAUCAGUCUAAAGUAUUCAUAAAUCAGAUUUUAGACAGAGUAGGUGGAUGUGUACAAUUAUGUAGCUUGGCUCUGAUAAAGUCAAUGAUCAGUUAAUGUAGCAUGACAUGCUUCUCACUAACGUGUUAUGUUUACUAUUGCUACCUAGUCAAAGAAUGCUACCAUCCAUUGCACAAACCAAUUGUGACCCAAUCCCAAAAAAAAAAAAAGUUUUGAGUUUUCCGCAUACAUCAUUGUGACUUACCCAGGCAGACUCAGCAGGUGUUUCCACAAGGCUCUCUGUUGUAUUGGGGGACAAUCCACGUCGCCUUGUCUUUAAAAGUGUCCAUAGGGUGUCUCUUUUCUCACUUUCUACAGGCGCAGGUUGUAAAAGACCUCAUUCUUGUGAUGCUAGCUAUAGCAGGAGCUUUGUUUGGAUAUUGUGAGGAUAGCUAAAUAGAUAGCUAGUACUGGAUUCCUUGUACAAAUAGAUUUCCUACUGACACACGUGAGGAACCAUCCAAUGAUAAUGAAAAAUAAAUAAAUAAAUGGAGACAGAAAGAAUUUGUACUAAUGCACGUGCUUCAGAUAAAUAAUUUAGUUUAGGAGAAGGAAACAAUUGGAGAUAUGACUUUUCUGCCUGAACAGAGCCCACAAAUUUGCCUGAGCAUUUGUGAACAGAGAACUAGCCUUGGUUUUUGUUUUCUGUUUACAUCAUUCUCUUUAUUAAGUGAUGGAAAAUCAAGGUGUCAGCCAUCAUUUUCCCCUAAUAUCUCCAGUCCUGUUAGACUUUGACUUUGUUCUGCUCCGGUCAUUUGUCAUUUUAGUGUAGAUUGGAUGCAGAACCUCAAUGCCCUCUUUACCUUUCACUACUUGGCAGUGUGUCCAAAAAGGUGUCCCCUCCUCUCGUUCUGCUGUGCUCAGCUUCUUCUUCUUCAGCAUAAAACACUCUGAUCAUCAAAAUACAGUCUCCUACUAUUGAUCAAGCAGACUCAGAACUCCAACAAGGGGCAUGGAUGCUGAGUUCAGGGCUGCUCUUCAUGCCUCACCUGUGGAUUGAUGGACUGUCGGGUCUUAUCUCAAGGAAUCCACAGCCUGCUUUCCCUUACUCUAGUAUUAAUAACACCUGUUACACUUUUCUAAUCACUCAGAAUAAGUCCAACAUCGGCUGAUAUUGAAAUCAGAAAAGUAAAGAGAAUAAUCAGCUUCAGGCUGAAAAGUUGUUCUUCUGUGUUAUCCUCCAGUGUCUGCAGCAGCUGUAGUAACAUCAAUGCUGUUUGAAGAGGCUUUUGCUCCAGUGCACACAUGCAUCUUCAGGAGUGCGUUUGGCUGAGAAGUCAUGGUAAAUACAAGGAUUUUAAUUCCCAAGUAUUUCCUUGGAUAGCUCCUGACUUUUGUUGGUAUAGAGGAUUUGUCACAGUGUGCAUAUAAUGCAGUGCUUAUCUGAGAGCACCUUCAGGAUCAUAACCCCGCUGGGUACGUGUGAAUAUGUUCCUGUAUCGCAGCUUUGACUCCCAGCUCAGAGAGCGUGGCUUAUAUCUUUCCACCAAUUUCACAAAUAAUUCAAGAAGUUAUACGGCAGCAAAGUACACAUAAACAAGUCUCCGUCUGCCUGUAUGUCUGUCGCCAUCACCCAUCUCAUUACCUGCAGCAUUAUUCAUCAGUACCCCCACCUCGAUACCCCUCUCAUUCCCCAGCAGCACACAUAUACCCCCACUGGGAGGGAUGGCAGCCUCUGACAAGCCCAGAGUAAAUGGGCACCUCAUCCUUAGUGUGUGUAUGUGUAUGUGUGUGACAAGUGCUGACAGUCCAGGAGCCUGGCCUCGUACAAGGUCAGCAUCUGUGAGCUCCAUCAGUGUGUACGAGUGUGUGUGAGUGUGUGUGGUUACAAACAAUAUACCACCUGUGCCCCCCUGCCAUGCCUGCACCCAGCAGAUGCUCUGAAAGUCAUACUCAUACAGUCUUACUCACACACACAUACGAGCACGCAGACUUAGUCAUGAGUACCAUGCAGAGUUAUGAAAGUCAGCCGAGGUUAGUUGUAGUGUUGAGUGUGAUUAAAUAUGAUAAAAUAUGGACCAUAAAUUCAGCUCAUAUGGAGGAAGACAGGACCUACACGCUCACACACACUUACACACAGUAACAGAGGAACACACACAUCUUUGGACAACUGUGGUGGUUUUGUUUUAAAUGUAGAGGCAAACAAUGAAAAACUACAUGAGAUGUGUUUUUAGUGCUGACUUGCAGUCCUAAAUGCUGAUGUAAAUAAAAUGUAAAACUUUAUGUUGAAGGAGCAGGUUGUGCAGCAGUUUUCUGGAUGCCAAAAUAGUAAUAAUAUCCACAAUGAAAAAAAAAAAGAAACAGCUUAAAUAUUUGGAUUAUUCUUGGUGAGAGUCUCUUCAGUAUGAAAGAAGUUUAUAAUAGGAGGGAACGGAGCAUGGUAGCUCACCAUUAAAAACAUUUGUUGAAGUACAGUGACUCUCUGAACAAGUCAUACUCUAAAUAUACUGCAGUGCAUUUCAGUUCUUUUUGUACAUGGUAUCAAUUUUGUGCUGUGAACUCAGACAGAGGUUACCUCAGUCAAUCUCUCAGGCCGAUUAACGGGGCUGAUUGAUGUGAUUUUGAAAUAGUCCACCGGUUUAAAAAGAGAAGAAAAUGUCUGCAGACAGCAGUCACUGUGGCUACUGAGCGGUAAGUUUUCAUCCCUCUAUAUGAAAACACAUUUUCCCAUUCUUUAAAAUCUAAAACAUUCAUUGUCUAGUACAGCUGGGCGAUUAAUUGGAUUUCAGCUUCAAUUACAAUUAUGGCUCCCCAAAAUCAUAAAAAUAUGAUAAUUGAGACUCUGCUGCUUGACAUUUGGCCCCUGUUAUGUCCUAUUCUCUCUUCUUUAACAGCAGAUCAUGGGCAUGGCCCCUCCCCUCAAACAGUUCUCACUUUUACUCCAUCAGCAGCAGCUUGGAUCAUUGUAAAACAAGGUUUGGGAGCACAAAGAUGUUAGAGCUACGCCAGAAUUAAUGGUGGAUGCUGUAUGUUUCACAGGUACUGCAGCAGUGGUACAGGCUAAAGGUGGAGGGAGGAGAGCAGGGAGAGGAGCAGGAGGAAGCAGGUGUGUGAAUCUGUGUGUGUCUGAGAAGUGAAGGACAAAGUGAGCAUGCCUAGAGAGAGGCUGUCACAAUCACGAGUAUUCGGAAGUGAGAUAUAUUCCAAAUCAUCCCAAAAGUCCAGGUCUAA
rnacentral:lncRNA from 1 species